rnacentral:misc_RNA from 1 species
CAAUCCGUGUUUAUUAUAGUAUGCAUUUUAGUUUGGAUUUUGAAGUUUCAGUUUGAUUUCGCUACAAGGCACUGGUUAAGGCUUUUCUGAGUUAUUAUUAUUAUUGUUAUUAUUAUUUUAUUAUCAUUUGGUAGUAUGAGAGAGUUAUUGUGUGGGAUCUAAUUAUAUUAUGCAACAAAAAUGCAUACUAUAAUAAACACGGAUUG